rnacentral:rRNA from 1 species
GAUGAACGCUGGCGGCGUGCCUAAUACAUGCAAGUCGAGCGAACAGACGAGGAGCUUGCUCCUCUGACGUUAGCGGCGGACGGGUGAGUAACACGUGGAUAACCUACCUAUAAGACUGGGAUAACUUCGGGAAACCGGAGCUAAUACCGGAUAAUAUAUUGAACCGCAUGGUUCAAUAGUGAAAGACGGUUUUGCUGUCACUUAUAGAUGGAUCCGCGCCGCAUUAGCUAGUUGGUAAGGUAACGGCUUACCAAGGCAACGAUGCGUAGCCGACCUGAGAGGGUGAUCGGCCACACUGGAACUGAGACACGGUCCAGACUCCUACGGGAGGCAGCAGUAGGGAAUCUUCCGCAAUGGGCGAGAGCCUGACGGAGCAACGCCGCGUGAGUGAUGAAGGUCUUCGGAUCGUAAAACUCUGUUAUUAGGGAAGAACAAAUGUGUAAGUAACUAUUCACGUCUUGACGGUACCUAAUCAGAAAGCCACGGCUAACUACGUG